ensembl:lncRNA novel transcript
UAAUCCCUGGGGGUCCUAUUAAAAUGCAAAAACUCCGAGAAGAAUAAUAGCAUUGAAAGCUAUUAUUAACUGACAGCAAGGAGGCCCUUGGGAAUUGGACACGGGAUAGAGCCUGAGGAACAACUCCAGGAAAUUGGGGUACAAGCAGAGGGAAGUAUACAGACGGAACGAUUUAACCCAAACUUAGAUCCACCUCCAAGAACGUCAAAGUCCAAGGCUUCUCAGUGAAGGCUGCCCAGGGUCAAGUCAGAGAACCAGGAUUACAAAUUGCUUCUGGCCAGAAGGAGAGAAGUAUGGUGCAGAAAAUAAAUUCCUGGGGAAACAAACUGCUAAGAAGACCGCAGCAGCCUUCAUAAGUUGUAUCUUCCCCUUUACUGAAGAAUCACCAGUCACCUACAGUUGCACAGCAAGCAUGGGAAAAUAACUGAAAUUUUGAUGUGCCAUUUCUCACUUCUUUAAGAACCCUCCUUCAAAUUCCUGAAUAAAGCUGCUAACUAAGACAAA